GCUUCCUGAACCAAGAUUCCCAUUAACAUAGGUAACACUGGAGAGAAGUUGUGUUUAUUCCACACAUAUAUAAUGUCUUGGACUUCUAUCUUCAUUUGUUGUAAUUGUAACCCCUAAGCCUUAUCAGCAAUUCCAACCUCAACAUCAUCUUGAAUAUGAUGCCACAAACCUUGAUAGCCAGCAGUGUCGAUGGUCGAUGGAGGAUGGCAAAAACAGACUGCAGAUCUGUGGCACUGGUGCUGGAAUCUCGGUGACCAGCGACAAAGGAAUUCUGAGUCUGAAGUUUGACGGCGCAGCAUGGAGACUGCUGGCCGGCUAUGCAGGUUGUCUGAAGGUCAGCUGGGGAGAAAGUCAGAUGGUCACUGGUGGAAGACGAUGAACUCUUGAGACGACUAUCCAUGGAGGUGAAGGGACCCUCCUACAGGCCAAUAGUGGAGAAUGUAAAGGAUGGUGUUGAGGACAUCGGCAAAGGAACCCUUGAGACCAAUGGAGGCGGUGGCUGAGGAAACCUGGAGACUAUGUUGACGACUGAGGAAUCUUGAAGGCCAGCCAAGUGGAGAGUUGGUCUCCAGGUUUAGCCUAGGAUCUGAGCACUCGCAAUAGAGCUCAGGAACCCUGGAGAUGGGGAAGGCAAUCCACAGAGAAGCCCUGAAGAUUAGAAAACCCACAGAGGAGCUCUAGAGACAAGGAAAACCCACGAAGGAGAAAAGUCACCCAUAUAGGUUCUAAAGAGGCUAAGGUCCACCCGGAUGUUAGCCUCUGCAAAGACUGCUGGUUCUACUGCCAUCUGCAUUGGGCAGCUGAGCAGUCACUUUGGGCGGCUGAAAUCCUGCUGUUGCAGCUGAAGAAAAAGAAAUGGGGGCCGAAGUACCUUGAUGCCAACGUGGCGCAGACUUAAGACAGAGGAGGACGUCGGGUCAAGGAGUGGAGGAGUUGGAGCAGGGCAUUCUGAUGGUAAUAGUAAGGAUGGGUCAUGGAGUGGAGGUUGUCCUUUAGGAUGCCAUUAUUAAAA